GGAAGUAAAAGUCGUAACAAGGUCUCCGUUGGUGAACCAGCGGAGGGAUCAUUACCGAGUUUACAACUCCCAAACCCAAUGUGAACGUUACCAAACUGUUGCCUCGGCGGGAUCUCUGCCCCGGGUGCGUCGCAGCCCCGGACCAAGGCGCCCGCCGGAGGACCAACCAAAACUCUUAUUGUAUACCCCCUCGCGGGUUUUUUUUAUAAUCUGAGCCUUCUCGGCGCCUCUCGUAGGCGUUUCGAAAAUGAAUCAAAACUUUCAACAACGGAUCUCUUGGUUCUGGCAUCGAUGAAGAACGCAGCGAAAUGCGAUAAGUAAUGUGAAUUGCAGAAUUCAGUGAAUCAUCGAAUCUUUGAACGCACAUUGCGCCCGCCAGUAUUCUGGCGGGCAUGCCUGUCCGAGCGUCAUUUCAACCCUCGAACCCCUCCGGGGGGUCGGCGUUGGGGAUCGGCCCUGCCUUGGCGGUGGCCGUCUCCGAAAUACAGUGGCGGUCUCGCCGCAGCCUCUCCUGCGCAGUAGUUUGCACACUCGCAUCGGGAGCGCGGCGCGUCCACAGCCGUUAAACCCCCAACUUCUGAAAUGUUGACCUCGGAUCAGGUAGGAAUACCCGCUGAACUUAAGCAUAUCAAUAAGCGGAGGA
rnacentral:rRNA from 1 species